GACAGAGGUCCCGAGCGUUGUUCGGAUUCAUUGGGCGUAAAGGGUGUGUAGGAGGUUGGGUAAGUCAGGUGUGAAAUCUCACAGCUUAACUGUGAAACUGCGCUUGAUACUGCUCGGCUAGAGGAUCGGAGGGGGUAACGGAAUUCAUGGUGUAGCAGUGAAAUGCGUAGAUAUCAUGAGGAACACCGGUGGCGAAGGCGGUUACCUGGAAGAUUCCUGACUCUGAAACACGAAAGCCAGGGGAGCAAACGGG
rnacentral:rRNA from 1 species